AAGUCGUAACAAGGUUUCCGUAGGUGAACCUGCGGAAGGAUCAUUAACACGUAUCCAACGUUAAACCCCCCGUGAACCUUCAGUGCGCUCGCACUUUCUUAGAAAAGGUAGCAAUCCCUGGUAAAUCAUUGCCGAACAGUUUUGAUUCAGGGACUUCUGCGUAGACUGUGCUUGAGCGUGAGGCAAGUGGCCUGGCAUUCCUCUGCUUGUUGGUGUCUGAAAGUGUCACCAGUCACGAUCGCUAGAGGCCGACACGGCCGGCGACCGGGUCACUGGGCGCGAGCCCCCCUCGUCACCUUUGCAUGAAAACGGGCCUGCGCUUAAUUGUGCGGCCACCAAACUCGAACAACUGUUAACAAUGGAUAUCUUGGUUCUC
rnacentral:misc_RNA from 1 species